AUGCCCGGCGGGACUGUCGUCCCGUCCAAGCGUAUAAUUCCGUGGAGUACCGUAAUGGUGAGAAUCGGAGGAAAGCGUGAUGGGGUAACCAGGCAAAUUCCCGGAGCCCAUGAAAAGGGAAUCAUAUGUCCGUACCGAGAACCGACACAGGUGCCCCUCGCUGAAGAGGUGAAGGCGUGUCGGAUUUAAUCGUAGUUAAGGGAACUCGGCAAAUUGGCCCCGUAACUUUGGGAUAAGGGGUGCCUGCCUGGAGAUCAGGCAGGUCGCAGUGACCGGGUCGCACUAACUGUCUAAUAACAACAUAGGUGACUGCAACUCCGAAAGGACUAGUAUAGUCACUGAUUCCUGCCCAGUGCGAGUAUCUGAACACCGGGUUCAACCGGACGAAGGACUCGUAAACGGCGGGGGUAACUAUGACCCUCUUAAGGUAGCGUAGUACCUUGUCGCUUAAUUGGCGACUUGCAUGAAUGGAUUAAUGAGUGCGAUACUGUCCCUAACACGAAUCCGUUGAACUUUUUGUCCUAGUGCAGAGACUAGGGACUCCUGAUGGGAAGUGAAGACCCCGUGGAGCUUUACUGCAGCCUGUCGCUGAAUUACGAUAAUCCUUGCGCAGGGUAGAUGGGAGGCGUUAUAUCCGUCGCUUUCGGGUGACGGGGAGCCAACGAUGAGACACCAUCCUAGUUUUGUUGUAGUUCUCACUCUUACGAGGACAACGGUAGGUAGGCAGUUUGGGUGGGGCGCCACACCCUCGAAAAAAUAUCAAGGGUGCCCCAAGGUCAACUCAUGUGAGUCAGAAACUCACAGAAGAGUGUCAAGAGCAUAAGUUGGCCUGACGCGAUCAUGCAAAGCAAAUGAUCGCGAGAGGAAACUCGGGUCUAACGAACCAAUAUAGCCUUUUGGUGAGGCUUAUUGACUACAGAAAAGCUACCCCGGGGAUAACAGAGUCGUCGCCGGCAAGAGCACAUAUCGACCCGGCGGCUUGCUACCUCGAUGUCGGUUCUUUCCAUCCUGGCCGUGCAGCAGCGGCCAAGGGUGAGGUUGUUCGCCUAUUAAAGGGGAUCGUGAGCUGGGUUUAGACCGUCGUGAGACAGGUCGGUUACUAUCUAUCAGGAGUGUUUGGAGUCUGAGGGUAAGAAUGAAAUAGUACGAGAGGAACUUUCAUUCGGCGCCUCUGGUCGAUCGGUUGUCUGACAAGGCAGUGCCGAGCAGCUACGCGCCAAGGGAUAAAAGCUGAAAGCAUCUAAGCUUGAAACCCGGCCUAAAAAGAGACUCCGUUGAGGACACGGAUAAAAGAUCCGUUUGAUAGGCUUGGGAUAGAUCGGAAGAGCGUCGUGUAGGGAAAG
rnacentral:rRNA from 1 species